CUCUGGUCGAACAAUGUCCAGGGUCUCAAUGUGCCGGAGAAACGCACACGCCUACUCAGCAAGCUCUGGACACCGAGGGCGUCGGUGGCGUUCGUACAGGAGACGCACUUCAGAGGCAACGAGGCUCCCAAAUUAGAGAACCGUCGCUUCCCGUUAGGGUUCUACGCGAACCACCCGGACGCGAAAAAGGCAGGGGUGGCGAUAUU